UGCCUGAGCGCACAGUGCGCAGGUCUGCUGUGGACUUUAAUUCGGUGAACAGCUGAACACAGAGACAGCACAGAGACGGAGCGGGAGUAUCUCAGCUCUGAGAGAGUGAGGGCUGGGUUACAGAAGUUACCAGAAGAAGCUCAGCAGCGUGUUCAGCUCUGAAGAUGCAGCUGGUGUUUAGAGACGGUGGUGGAGAGAGAUACAGAGAGAGAGGAGACCUGAGAUUACCUGCUCUGAUCCUCUCAAACCCGCACCAUCCAUACCGAGGAUCCAGAGCCAGGACAAGCUCCUGAACCCCGAGCCUCCAAGAGUGAUUUCCUGGAUACAUGCAGAGCAGACGGCAAUCUAGCAGCUUGGAUUGGUGCCCCGUGGGCUGACGUAAGCCGAUUCUUUGUCAUUCUAUACACCCUCCUUCUCAGAGGCGUUACCACUUCCUCCCCCACUCAUACCAGACACCCCGGCCGCUGCAGCAUGGCACAGAACAAAGGCUGAAGGCAUACAAGCGCUAGUCUGUCCAGAACUGAAAAAAGACCAGAAACCUGCGGUAAGCACAGAAUUAAGGCACUGCAGAUUGUAAAAAAAAGCUAAAAAGCUAAAACAGAGGCGUCAAGGCACUCAUCUGUGUGAUCAGUAAGUUACCAGUUACCCCUGCACACCACAGGAGUAUAACCUCUCUACAGAGUCAGACUGUGACCAAAGUGUUACCAUUAAAGGAAGGUUUAGCCCCUAUAACUUCAUUUUCAGAUCAUUUACAACAUGUGUUCCCAUAAAAUCAGGUCUGAAAAGAUUCCUGGCUGUUCAGAAAAUGGGUCAAAGCCAUAUAUAAUCAAGAAAGUGGGUAGAAAAAAAAAUGUUUUGUUUAGGUGUGUUAAAACAAGCUUUACUCAGCUAAAUUAAUGUGCAGAUUUUUAAUGCAAUAAAGAUUUGAAGACCACCCUCACAAAUUCCUGCAAUGAGUGGGUAAUAAAACACAGCUCAUGUACAAACAAUACCUUACACUAUAGAACUACUUAUAAUGCUAACACGCGGCUAACUAUUACACAAUUUAACAGCUAAAAAGUCCCCCCCCCCCCCCCAAAAAAAAUGUAAACAUUUAUAAUAUCUGUAAACAUUUGAAAUAUCUGUAAACAAGUUAAAAAAUAUAUUUCCAUUUUUUCCAUUCAUUUUAUGUAUUGUUAUUUUGGUGCUGUUUUGUGGCUAUUUUAUUUAUUUUUAAUUUGGUCUAUUUUAGUCUUUUUAUUUACUUAUUUAUUUAUUUUGUUUAUUUUUUUGCCGGGGAUGAAAGGGUUAACCCUGUUGUUUACAGGUAAACACGGUGACCGGUAAGGGGCGCUCUCCGCCGGUUCCCCGCAGAGCGCAGCGCUGAGGCGCGUCACUUUUUGGUCUUUGCACACUAAAGAAAAAAACACAAUCUAGAAAAGUACUUCAGGUGAAUAAAAAGAAUGGCUGCACUUUGCAAUACUAUACUAAAUAUCUCACCAGAAUUUCUUGAUGUUUUUGUUAGUCAGAUUCUAUUUUUCUACAAUUAAACCUGUUUUUAAAACUUAAUUCUAUUUUUAAAAACCCUACUGAUCACAAAACUUUGUUGAAUCACAACGUUUGACUCUGACAAGAAGAUCUUAAAAAUAGCGUUUCAUGUUGUAUCCAGAUCUCAAAAAGGUCCAAUUUCACCAUAUGGAGGGUUGUUUUUAGAUUAAACAGUUACAGGUUUUAACGAUAUGACCCGCCUUCCGGAGCUUCCCAUUGGCCGCUGGAAGAAGUGUUUCACUGAAUUGUUUCACUGAGGACUCACCGGAUUGGCCGCUGUGCUCGCGCGAUUGGUCAGAGGCGUCACGUGUCUGUUUUAGAGCGACGCCAUUCGUUCACGUGUUGUCCCGCCCUCCCGAUCUCCCUAUUGGCCGCAGUGGAGUGUUUCGCGGAAGUGUUUUAAAAUGGUCUCCGCUGAUUGGCUGUUGUUGGGAGCCGCCUCUUGCUCACAGCUGUUGGGAGAAGCGCGGUGGAGAAGCAUGAGCGCACUGACUAACUGCAGAGAAUACAGCGGAGCUUGUAGCAAUAAGGCAGACAUUACAGUGGGUGGAGGAUUAUAGAGCAAGCAAACGAGCAAUUGCAUCAGAUUCUAGCUCAGCAUUAAUUAGUCUGAAGAAUGGACAGUCUGACUUAAAGCAGGAUAUUGUUUAUAAAUUCUGCAUAUAUUAAAUAAUCUGGGGGUAUUCCAGAAAGCGGGUUCAACAAACUCUAAACCUAACCCUGAACUCCGAGUUGACUUACCUCACCAUGUCAUACUCAGAGUUUUUAGUUCCACAGCAGCUGAUCAGAGUUAGGAUAAGAGUUACUCAACUCUUAACUCAAAACUUUAUACAGAGCAGUUUAGUAAAACAUACGCGGUGAAAAUGUCAUUUAUAGAGUGGAAGCACCUUUCCCAUGUAGAGUCUGGUACGCUGUUCCAGGUACAGAACCCUGUGGUAGCAUGAACAGAGGACAAGAGCUGGAGGAGGAGACCCUCAGGAAAACCUGCUGUAUCCAGUGAGAGUGCUGUUCAGUUUGGCUCCUGUAGAAAGACACUGGAUAUGCUGGGAUGGUCCGGGCAGGGCACCAAAAGGAGUUGGAGUCUGGCAACAUGAGUGAAAAUGCCCUGAUGAAAAACCUUUUCCUCAAGUAUGCAGGCUCCUUCUCUGAGGUUGCUGAUGCUAUUAAACACCGGAGAGAACAGGAUUCAUCUGUUGAGGACAGAGGUCUGGUGGGCAUUGGUGCACACAAGAUGUGCACAAACAAGAAGCUCUGUGAGUCCACAGACAGAGAAAUGAAAAAUAUAAGAACUAUUGUUACCUUUAAAGACAUUAUGGGCUGUUAAAAUAUUUGGUGAAAAUAUUUAGUACAGAAUGAUUACAGUAGCUUCCACAGUAGCAUCUACAAAGCAGCUUCCUGAAGCUCCUGGGCCAAGGAUUGAGGAGCUGGUGGCAUGGCGGUGGAGCUGGACAUUUCCGCUCGUGCUCUAGUGACAGAUUCCGUCCCAGUGACCCCUUCCCGUUCCCCACGGGAAGCUGCAGAGAAACAGAAGCAAAAGACAUUCCCUGCUGCUUCUGAGGGUCUAGGGUAAGGUGGCAGCUUGGUCGCAGGACAUCCUUGAGCAGCUGGAUUUGGAGCAUUGCUAGAUUUCCUGCCAUCCUCACAGACAGGCUUUAGAAUUAGUGAGAUGGGGCUUUUUCCACCGUUAUCCAGGUUCAAAGUAGCUCCAACCCUCAUUGGCCUGGGUCCUAUACGUGGAAUCAGGCGUAAUCCAGCGCUGCAGUGCCGCUGGAGCUCCUGUACGUGGACAGGAAGUGCUGUUAUGGAGCGUGUUAGGAUGACAACUGUCAUCACCAGUAUAGAUAUUUAAAAUAUAAAAAUGUUGUGAUGUGCACAUAGAUUUGUGUUAAUGUUGAAAUUACAUGUGUAUUAUUAAGGCCUUAUGAAAAUAGUUGUAAUAUUUCAUGUAUGUUUUAUGGUUUGAAUCUCUAUAGAUUAGCCAUUUUCCCCCUGUAGUAAAAAGAAUGGUGUGCUCCGUUAGAUUAGGGGCGGGGCUAGUUGGUUAGGAGGGGCUUGGUAAGCAUUGGUGAGGAGGCUGGCUUAGAUAUGACUGAACUGAUGCUGAGAGGGGGCACAGGUGCGGGUCGAGCUGGAUCGCUGUUUGGAACCUAUGGCCUUGUGGCCUGGGUUCAAUUUACCUGCAGAGACUAGUCAAGAAUUUUAAACUGCAUUAUGCACAGAUUUGUUUGUAUGUUUUCUGCACGCACUGUUAAUAAAAACUCACCUUUUGAACUCCC